GAAACGAUGGGAGCUUGCUCCCAGGCGUCGAGUGGCGGACGGGUGAGUAAUACUUAGGAAUCUGCCCAUUAGUGGGGGACAACUCGGGGAAACUCGAGCUAAUACCGCAUACGCCCUACGGGGGAAAGCGGGGGAUCUUCGGACCUCGCGCUAAUGGAUGAGCCUAAGCCGGAUUAGCUAGUUGGUAGGGUAAAAGCCUACCAAGGCGACGAUCCGUAGCUGGUCUGAGAGGACGAUCAGCCACACUGGGACUGAGACACGGCCCAGACUCCUACGGGAGGCAGCAGUGGGGAAUAUUGCACAAUGGGCGCAAGCCUGAUGCAGCAAUGCCGCGUGUGUGAAGAAGGCCUGCGGGUUGUAAAGCACUUUCAGUAGAGAAGAAAAGCCUAGGGUUAAUAACCCUGAGUCUUGACGUUACCUACAGAAGAAGCUCCGGCUAACUCCGUGCCAGCAGCCGCGGUAAUACGGAGGGAGCGAGCGUUAAUCGGAAUUACUGGGCGUAAAGCGCGCGUAGGCGGCUUUGUAAGUCGGAUGUGAAAGCCCCGGGCUCAACCUGGGNAAUUGCAUUCGAUACUGCAGAGCUAGAGUAU
rnacentral:rRNA from 1 species